rnacentral:rRNA from 1 species
AUAAGCGGAGGAAAAGAGACUAACAAGGAUUCCCCUAGUACGGCGAGUGAAGCGGGAAGAGCUCAAAUUUAAAAUCUGACGGUCCAAGAUCGUCCGAGUUGUAAUCUAGAGAAGUGUUAUCUGUGCUGGACCGUGUACAAGUCCCUUGGAACAGGGCGUCAUAGAGGGUGAGAAUCCCGUCUACGGCAUGGACUCCCAGUACUGUGUGAUGCACUCUCGACGAGUCGAGUUGUUUGGGAAUGCAGCUCAAAAUGGGUGGUAAAUUCCAUCUAAAGCUAAAUACAGGCAAAAGACCGAUAGCGAACAAGUACCGUGAGGGAAAGAUGAAAAGCACUUUGGAAAGAGAGUUAAACAGUACGUGAAAUUGUUGAAAGGGAAACGCUUAAAGUCAGUCGCGUCUUCAGAGACUCAGCYCAGCUUGCUGGGUGCACUUCUCUGGUGACGGGUCAGCGUCAGUUUCGGCCGUCGGAAAAAGGCCGGAGGAAGGUGGCACCUUUGGGUGUGUUAUAGCCUCCGGUUGUAUGCGACGGCUUGGGACUGAGGAUCGCAGCAUGCCCCUCGGGGCCGGGGUUCGCCCACGUAACAUGCUUAGGAUGCUGACGUAAUGGCUUUAAACGACCCGUCUUGAAACACGGACCAAGGAGUCUAACAUGCC